AGUUGGUGGGGUAACGGCCCACCAAGUCAACGAUGGGUAGCCGACCUGAGAGGGUGAUCGGCCACAUUGGGACUGAGAGACGGUCCAAACUCCUACGGGAGGCAGCAGUGGGGAAUAUUGGGCAAUGGGGGGAACCCUGACCCAGCAACGCCGCGUGAGGGAAGAAGGUUUUCGGAUUGUAAACCUCUGUCCUUGGUGAAGAGUAGAAGACGGUAGCCAAGGAGGAAGCCCCGGCUAACUACGUGCCAGCAGCCGCGGUAAUACGUAGGGGGCGAGCGUUGUCCGGAAUGAUUGGGCGUAAAGGGCGCGUAGGCGGUUGUGCAAGUCCGGAGUGGAAGUCCUAUUUUCAAGGUAGGAAUUGCUUUGGAAACUGCAUAACUUGAGUGCAGGAGAGGUUAUCGGAAUUCCCGGUGUAGCGGUGAAAUGCGUAGAGAUCGGGAGGAACACCAGUGGCGAAGGCGGGUGACUGGACUGCAACUGACGCUGAGGCGCGAAAGUGUGGGGAGCAAACAGGAUUAGAUACCCUGGUAGUCCACACUGUAAACGAUGAGUGCUAGGUGUAGGUGGUAUCGACCCCAUCUGUGCCGUAGUGAA
rnacentral:rRNA from 1 species